CCGGUUUUGUCUCACCAGGGGUGAUGGUCGGAUUCGCGUUUAUCGUCAAAGGAAUAAGCGUUACACCGAGGCCUGUACUCUGGAGCGGGAUCGAUUUGGAGGUGGAGGGUCCGUCAUGGUCUGGGGCGGUGUGUCACAGCAUCAUCGGACUGAGCUUGUUGUCAUUGCAGGCAAUCUCAACGCUGUGCGCUCAUCCUGACAUGACCCUCCAGCAUGACAAUGCCACCAGCCAUACUGCUCGUUCUGUGCGUGAUUUCCGGCAACACAGGAAUGUCAGUGUUCUGCCAUGGCCAGUGAAGAGCCCGGAUCUCAAUACCAUUGAGCACGUCUGGGACCUGUUGGAUCGGAGGGUGAGGGCUGGGGCCAUUCCCCCCCAGAAAUGUCCAGGAACUUGCAGGUGCCUUGGUGGAAGAGUGGGGUAACAUCUCACAGCAAGAACUGGAAAAUCUGGUGCAGUCCAUGAGGAGAAGCACCUGCAGUACUUAAUGCAGCUGGUGGCCACACCAGAUACUGACUGUUACUUUUGAUUUUGACCCUACCUUUGUUCAGGGACACAUUAUUCAAUUUCUGUUAGUCACAUGUCUGUGGAACUUGUUCAAUUUAUAUCUCAGUUGUCGAAACUUGUUAUGUUCAUACAAAUAUUUACACAUGUUAAGUUUUCUGAAAAUAAACGCAGUUGACAGUAAGAGGACGUUUCUUUUUUUGCUGAGUUUAUAUCUUGUAAUGGUAACCUAGGUAUUAUUGAAAAGAAGUGGAUAUUCAACCGGCAGCAGAAAUGUUUACAUUUAGACAUAGGGGUCAAAAUUAAUUAAGGUUAGGUGUAGUUUCAGUAAGGUCAAGGAAAUGCAUAACAUUUCAAAUCGGGUUAGUGUACUGCCGUGAUUUUCUACCGGUCGAUAACACUGCCACUUGCCGGGAUGAGAACGCACUCAUAAAGACAUCCAAGGGUCUUUCCUGGUUUAAGGUUAAAUAAAUACCACCGGGUGUGUAUCCUCUGGCUUGUGAGUGACCUUUACUUGCCUUAUUACAAUGUAAUCAUCUACAAUUAUGUUAAUUAUAGAAUCAGCCGACUGUAAUCAUCUGUAAUUAUGUUAUGGCAUCAGCCGUAUUCCAGUCAACAGACACUGGUAUGUACUAAUGCUGCAGAACCGCUGAGGGGUGUGUGUGUGUGUGGGGGGGGGGGGGUGUCUCUCAAGAUGAAGUUUUCAUCCCUCUAGUAUUCUGUCACAUACUGGUAUAGUAAUUUACUUUUCUUGUUCCUUCAUACUGGAGAAGUCACAAACACACACACAGCUCCACAGGAACCAGUAAUCUGAAGCCAACAGAGGUAGUUAGCACAGAUGUCUUGUGUGUUAAUUAUUUAACCAACACAUGAUUAUGUAAUUUAUCACAGUUACACACACACACAAACACACACAGGGAAAAACACAUUGCUGUUUACCUUUACUCCCCCACACUAAGGUGAGAAAUAACCUGGAAGCAUUUCGGCUCCACUGUGUGUUUGACCUCAGUGCGUUUGGGCUGCAGUGAGUCACCUGAUACGCAGGUUUGACAUUACAGUGUGGAAAAUGCAUUGUGGGAAAGCUCACUAGAAGAGGAACGUAGUGUGUAGUAUAUGUAUAUGGGUGUACUCUAUGUGUCUGUGUGAAUGUACUCUAUGUGGCAGGUGCGGCAGGGUAGCCUAGUGGUUAGAGUGUUGGACCAGUAACCGAAAGGUUGCAAGAUUGAAUCCCCGAGCUGAUAAGGGUUGAGAGAGAGUGCAAUAGACUAGUGCUGCUGCAGACAGGAUUUCUCUCAAACUCCUGAUCCACUUUCUAGUUUACCAUCCAGCGUCCAGUGUGCUGAUCCAGGCCAGGGUUUAUCUGCUGCCCAGAGUCAGGCCCAGUCCUGUGGCUCUGUUCUAUGGCCAGGAGGUGAGUCAGAGAGAGGGGGUGGAGAUGAGAGCGAUUGAGAAAGGGAAGUUGGGUGUGGCCCUGAAAGCCCUUGGCACAUUCCUAGAAGAGACUGUGCCCUCAAUACCACCGUGCACACCUUUCCAGCUGCCAACAUCUAAACACAAAUAUCCAGGUGAGCAGCAUACAUACACUAAGUCUACGACACUCUCAUUCAUACACGUGUAUGGUAGUAUACUCACACUGUACUCAAAUAAACGUUUAAUCAUACACACCCAACAGCAUUAUAUUUGCUUAACCAGGUCUAGAGUAGGUGUGUACAGGUAACAGGGCAAGGUGCACCCAGGUAUGUGGGCAAACAUCCAGAUCGUGAGACACCCUGGGGAGCGAACGCUGAACACACAUCCAUAUGUGUGUGUGUGUGUGUGUGUGUGUGUGGAUGUAGGAUAUCAUGGGAGUGGGACUGAUCUGACAGGACACAGGACAGCCCCCCCC
rnacentral:lncRNA from 1 species